UACGUAGGGACCAAGCGUUGUUCGGAUUUACUGGGCGUAAAGAGCGCGCAGGCGGUCGUUCAAGUCGCGUGUGAAAGCCCCCGGCUCAACUGGGGAGGGUCACGCGAUACUGAUCGACUGGAAGGCAGGAGAGGGUAGUGGAAUUCCCGGUGUAGUGGUGAAAUGCGUAGAUAUCGGGAGGAACACCAGUGGCGAAGGCGACUACCUGGCCUGUUCUUGACGCUGAGGCGCGAAAGCUAGGGGAGCAAACGGG
rnacentral:rRNA from 1 species